UAAAAUCAACAUAAUCUCUUUACAAAAAUUGGUUAUUUUACUUGGACUUGUGAAUGAAUUAAAUUCGAACAUUUCAAAUGGAUUGAGUUCAUUUGAUAUGUUCGAAUUAAGCUUGUGAAUGAAUUAAGCUUGUGGGUUUAUCACGAAUAUAGGGUUUGGAGGGUCCAUUGACCUGGCUGCUUUACUGGAUUUCAUGGAUAGCGGUCAUGAUUUGAUCAUUGCAGCUGAUACCAAUGCAUCUGAUUUGAUCCGACAAAUCGCAGUCGAGUGUGGAGUUGAUUUUGAUGAGUGAAAUGUGUGAGUGUUGGGCCAUGUGUAGUUUUCAUGCCAAGAAUCGAUUUGUGGGCUGUGGAGACACCUCUUCAAGUGACAGUCGAGAGUGAUUCUGAUUCAUCAGACCAUCAACUUCGUGAAAAUGAAAAGUCGUAUUUUGUAUACAUGGUCAAGUUGGUGAAAAGGGCAGUGGGUCCGCUUCACAACAAUGCAAAUCAGAAGACAUGGAUGAUGGGAGAGUGCACGAGUGUUGCUCGAAGCGCUUCACAUGCCUGGAACUUAUUUGUUGAGCAGGUGGAGUCUCUACAUCCUUGAUGUUUCUGGCCAAUUGAAAGGUCUUGCUUAAAAGGCUACAUCAGAAGUUGCAGAUCCAGUACUACCAGUUAGAAUAAGGCAGUUCUUCAAGAUCAGUCAAUUCCUGUGAAGCAUACAGUUCCCUGAUUUCUUGUGCAGGUCAAUCGAGAUUUCAACCAUGAUUUGGGGAUCAAUCUAUCCGCAGAAGAGUUAUUAAAGGAUAUGGUUCAACAGGUUGUUCUGUUAAUUCAUCAAACGUCCCACAUCCAUACAAGCUCUUGCCAGGAGUAUAAAACUUGUGGUACCAGAAAAGAUCAAUCAGAGAUGGUUAAUCACAGUCUAGAUCAUGGAUCAGCUGAUGAAAACAACACUGUAAAACAGGGUCCUGAUACUAACAGUAGAACUGUGAAGGGGAAAUCGAGCUUGCUGCUAGCAAUAUGUACAUUUGGAUAUCAGAUUCUGCAAUAUCCUCAUUUUGUUGAGCUUUGUUGGUUUACUUCAGAAUUCAAAGAAGGUUCCUCUGUGGACAUAGUUGACCUUGAAGUGCUGGCCAUUCAAUUCUUGUAUAGUUCGUCCUAACUCAAUUGAAAAGGUGGCUGUUGGUUGUAGCUCCAGCAACAUUAAAAGCAAAGAAAAAUUUGUUCUAGUUAGAGGCCUGAUUGCUGUCAGUUUGUCGGCAUACAGAGGUUUCUACACAUCACUCAGAGAAGUCUCCUUUGAAAUACGGAAGGUUCUUGAGCUUCUAGUUUUACAGAUCAAUGCAAAGAUCCAGGCUGGGAAAGAUAGCUAUCAAUAUGUUCGCCUUUUAUUGCAAGUGGCCUAUAUGGGAGACAUGGUUAAUAGCUGGGCAUGCUUGCUGCACGGUUUAGAGUUGGAUGCUCCAAUGAAAAUGGCAAAUGCUAUUUAAGCUAACCGAUGUGAGACCUCCAGAUGAUCACCAUGUGAACGAUCAAGUUCAAAGGGAGGAACCCAAGCCAAAUGGUACUAGCAAAUGCUCCGAUGGGCUUGAAGUGCCAGAAAUUGGCCCUCAAGGUUUGAUAAUGAAAAAGUCUGUAGUGUUUACUUAAAUGAAGAAGAUGGUGAUUUGGGUCAUCCUAAUUCUGUAGGUGGACUUGAAAUUUCUGAUUUGUCUGGACAGAAAAGCGUCCUAACGAACUCUACUCUGGAUAAAUCUCUUCUUGAUUCAGAUGAAAUUUUGAAUGACCAGAAUGUGACAAGCUGAUGUCCAAAAAAAAAAAAAUAUGUGACAAGCCCUAAACCACGUGAGCCAGAAAAUGACAAAAACCAUGUAGUUGUGAAUGGAGAUGCUGGAUCCUUGAAACAUUCAAAUGGAUUUGAAUACUGAAUCUGUUGUCAUUUCGGAGGAUGGUUGAACUUAUGAUGAAUUUGGCCUCAUUAAGCUCUCUAGCUCUAGUACCGUCUGCAAUGAGCUUAAUGGUUUGUCCGAUGCUGGUAUUGGACAGAAUGAUGGUAAGUGUGACGCUGAUGAGCAUAUUAUGGAUGUCGACUUCUCGGGCAAAACAAGUCUCACUAGCGAGUCUGGGGUUUUAUGCUUGUAUUGUUGUUGCCCUACAUGUCUAGAUAUCCUCUACAGUUUGACACAGAAAAUUCUUAUUCACAAAUGGGGAUCCAAUAGGAGCCUAUGGACUGCAGAGGAUGCCUAUGAUAUUGUUGCAUCAGUGUCUGUGGAUGUUCUUGCAGCAGUUAGAAGAAUGAAUGUUUGUGGAGGUUUCAGCAACUCAUUGGAUGAUAAAUUGAGAGACGGAAAUAGUGAGAGGUUUGAAUGGCCAGAAACAAUUACAUGCCAAUGCAAAACUUCAGGAAAUAAGUCUUUUGCCAGUGGAAUGUAAAUGCCACACCAUCAGCGAUAGCACCAUAACAAAUAAGUAAAUGCUUUCCGAAUACUCAUCCCCGGUUUGAGUCAAACUUUAUUUUCAGAGAUGGUGUACUGGUUCAUAUGGAUCCUGUGAAGGAUGUUUCUUUUCACUGCAAAUUCGAGACUCUGUUCCUCUGUUCACUUAUGGAGUUGAUAGUAAUGAGCAAGCUGCCUUUUCAUUGAUUU